rnacentral:lncRNA from 1 species
AUAGAAGUAAUAUCCUAUGAUUUUAUUUGGAAUCCCUAUAAAGUGAGCCCUAAAGGACCUAGCCUCUAACUUAUCCACCUACUGUCAUUUGACAUGAGCCAAACAUCUCCAAAUCUUGAGAUACCAAAGAGUUGAUUUCUUAUCAUGUCAUAACUCGUAUGGUAUGGUAGGAAUAGAUUUAGAGAAAAUCUGAUUCAAAAGAUAAAUCAUAGAAAGUAAUGUAUAUCCCCAG